GACGAACGCUGGCGGCGUGCUUGACACAUGCAAGUCGAACGGAAAGGCCCUGCUUUUGUGGGGUGCUCGAGUGGCGAACGGGUGAGUAACACGUGAGUAACCUGCCCUUGACUUUGGGAUAACUUCAGGAAACUGGGGCUAAUACCGGAUAGGAGCUCCUGCUGCAUGGUGGGGGUUGGAAAGUUUCGGCGGUUGGGGAUGGACUCGCGGCUUAUCAGCUUGUUGGUGGGGUAGUGGCUUACCAAGGCUUUGACGGGUAGCCGGCCUGAGAGGGUGACCGGCCACAUUGGGACUGAGAUACGGCCCGGACUCCUACGGGAGGCAGCAGUGGGGAAUAUUGCACAAUGGGCGGAAGCCUGAUGCAGCAACGCCGCGUGCGGGAUGACGGCCUUCGGGUUGUAAACCGCUUUCGCCUGUGACGAAGCGUGAGUGGCGGUAAUGGGUAAAGAAGCACCGGCUAACUACGUG
rnacentral:rRNA from 1 species